AAACUUGUAUGUUUUGUAAGGGAUUUGUAAUAAAUUGCUCCAUUACAUACAUUUAACUAUUAUGCAUUCAUAAUCUAUUUCUAUAUUUGGCACCCUAGUGCCUUAAUUAACAUUUGGGAUAUCACAGAUCCAGGCAAUUGAAGCCCCAUGAUGCAACUACCCUACUCACGAACUGGAGUUAGCAGCUGUAGUCUUUGCCCUGAUGAUAUGGCACCAUUAUUUGUAUGGUCAGACAUUUGAAAUCUACAUUGACCCCAAAAAUUUGAAAUAUAUAUUUUAACAGAGGGAAUUAAAAAUAAGACA
rnacentral:lncRNA from 1 species